CCCCGCAUUUCACCAUCGCCUAGAUCGCUACCAAAGAUGAAACCACCGUCGAUACCCUCCUUAUCCUCGGUACCAUCGACCUUACGUCCUUCUACAGCUUCAUCCCUCCCCUUGUUGUUCAUGGCGUUUAACUCUGCCAUGCCCCAAGUACAUCCAAUACGAAGAUCUUAUUAUUCUCAAAUCUACCGCUCCUCGGUCUUUGCUUGAUUUUAACACUCAUUCUUGCUAUUUCUUCUCUUUUAUUCUUAGUUCUCACUAUCGACUCCGGUAGUGAUAAUCACAUCAGCAAUGGGUGAGUCAAGUUUGUGGCUUUUAUCCGCAAUUCCUUCUACUGUUAUAGUGUUCUUAUUUGGGCAGGUUUGAUGUUUUAUCUGCCAUAAGUUCAUCAUCAAGGAUCCUAAAUUUGAUCCAUUGAGAACCCAUCUA
rnacentral:lncRNA from 1 species